UAAAGGGCCCGCGGGGGGGAUGCUGGCGGCGGGGUUAUCGAGGCUGUUGUGCCGCUUGGUCGCCCGGCGCUGCCCCGCGGGGCUCCGGCCGCUCCGCACCGCCCGGCGUGGCGGCGCCCGCGGGGAGGAGGAUGGCGGCGGCGGCGGCAGCAGCAGGACGGGGUUCGCGCGGCGGCGGUGGGCCCGGCCGGCCGGGGGUGCCCUGGGCUUCCUGGGAGCCCUCUCGCUCUUCCCCAGGAACGCCGAGGAGGACGACGAGGACGCCAUCAUCCUCCUGCUGAAGAAAGCCAAGCUCAGCGUCAUGAAGGGGGAGCUGGGAGAGGCCGAUCGGAUUCUGCACGAAGCCCUGCGACUGUCGCACCAGGCGGACAACAGGGACGCCAUCGUGUACACCUACAGCAUGAUGGCAAACGUGGCCUUCAUGCAGGGACAGCUGGACAACGCAGAAAAGCUCUACAAAGCAAGUAUGAGCUAUUUGCUUGCAGGGGACACAAAGGAGGAUGACAAUGCAAUCCUUGAGAUGUCCCUCAAGCUGGCCAGUAUCUAUGCUUCUCAGAAACAGCACGAAUUAGCUGUGGCUGGCUACCAGUUCUGCAUCCUGACUUUAGAGGAGAAGAUUGCCAAGCAAAAGGACUUGCCUGAGGAUGUCCUACCAGCUGAAGAAAAGGCCAACACCCGUCUCUUGCUUGGGAUGAGCCUAGACUCCUAUGCUCGCUAUCUCCUAAACAUUAACCAGCUCCCAGCGGCCCAGCAAAUGUAUGAGAAGGCUCUGCAGAUCUCAAAUGAUGUUCAGGGAGAGACUCAUCCACAGACUGUGGUCCUGAUGAAUGAUUUAGCAACUGUGCUGGAUGCUCAGGGACACUACGAUGAGGCUUACUCCUAUGUGAAGAGGGCAGCCGAGCUGGCCAAGGAAACUGAACACUCCGAGGAGCACAUGGUGCUCAAUAACCUGGCAGCAAUUCUGAUGCACAAAGAAGACUUUCUGCAAGCAAAGCAAGUGUACAAAGAAGCUCUCAAGCAGGCACAACAGAAGGGAGAUGUUGUUUCUGUCCAGCAUAUCCAGGAAGAACUAGCAGAGCUGGCCAAGAGGAGAAAGGGCUCCAAAUAAGUUUGGCCACGGAGUCCAGCCUUGAGGUGACUGACAGCAGCGAGUCAAGUACAAGCAGCCAGGUUGCUUGAAGAUCAAGAGUGUUUUGCCAGAGCAUUUAGCAUCCAAAACCAGAACAUGCCCUCUCAGAGGAGGUGUGAGACUGUUAUACUCAGCCUCCUUACCCCAGUCCACGGCCCACCAAGUGCCAGAGCUGUUGUCCUUUUCUUGGAGGUCAGUGCUACAAUGCUCAGGCUUUCUGUUGGAAAAGAUGGUUACGUACAAACCAUCAUAUGCCUUCACGUGAAUUUAGUGCAAACAGCCUGCUUCUACCACAGAAUCUGUCAGUUCUGCCCUGCAGGGAAGCCUUAUUAAUAGAUGGAGGAUUAAACCAGAAGUUAUCAAAUCCAUAUUAAAUUUGUAGUUCUGUUACUAACAAAGCAUUAUUCUAACCUCUCAUUCAUAAGAACUUCAGCUAUUUGGCAUAAUCCUUAAUGUUAAUUGCAUCACUAUUAGUUUACUUACAGCAGUGUUAGUGGCUUCAGCUCUGCUUAACUUUUUAAGAGGAGGCACGCAGGUUUCCUAGAGUAGAUGUUCAUUGAAGCUGGGAAAAUUCUGUCACAUAUACAGCUUCAUUCUCAGAAAGCUAGGAAGUAAAAACAUGGCUGUUACAGGCACGCUUGUACUAACAGGAGUGCUCUAACACAUUAAAGCUGAUCUCUAAAGGGCUGGUUUCUGGUUUUGAAGUGUUAACUGGGAACCCUGCAGCACCCCCUCAGGAAAGUGUUUUGCCUGUUCUGGUGAACAUAGUUUGAUGCUGCAAAACAAGAGGGAGACACAGGAAAAGCAAAUGGAGAACUGAUCCCCUUUAUUGAUUGGUCUGAAUCCAGAAGUCACUGUCUACUGAAGACAUUGUGUGGAAAAAAAAAAAUGCUGAGUUUGAUGAUGCAUGGGAUUUUCAAGUCUUAAAUGAUCUCAUAUCAGAAUCACGAAACAUAUCAAAGAUGAAAGCAUUGUGAAAGCGCUGAUCAGAAAUCAGUUAAAAAUUUGUAGUAAACUACACUUUGUAAACAUGAUUUACAAACACCUUCCUGUUUGAAACAGGGCAGAUGUAAUUCCAUACUUGAAGAUGACUGGAAUUGUGGUAAACCCUAACUUAGGCUCUGGAGAGGAUUUUUUUUACACUGGAGAAGUUAGAACUGAUAACAAACAAAAAAGCAGCAACAUUUUAUGUGCAAAUGGCACUCAAGCUGUAUCUGAGGAGCAGGUGACUACCCUACUUCGGCUAUCGCUGCUGCAGCAGCACCCGCAUGAAGCUUUGCAAGGAACAUGCUCUACGGAUGGCACAGUUAGCAAAGACGUUUGUCUCUACAUGCCUCUUGCACACUGUGUUUGUUACACUAAGAAAGAGAACAAGUGAGUUUUAGAAUGAAACUUAACUCUGCACUCCAAAUUUAAAUCUACAGAAAGGGCAGAUCAACUUGUUUUCCAGUAUAUGUUGCUGUGGGAACAAAAAAAGUUAAGAGCACAAGUCUAUGGAGAGGAUGAAAAAUGCAUUACUUCAGGCCAGAAGGGUAAAGGACAGGAGGGUGAGAAAAGUCUUUCUUAGAGAAAGACUGCAAGGAGAUUUAAGACUGCCAACCCAUCUAUUCUGAUGCAGUGUUUAAAAAGAGUAGCAAAAUAAUUCUGUAUUUGCAAUGCAGUGUCAAGUUUCCACAUGAGUUCCUUUGGAUUUUCUUUCCCACACUUGGGGCAAAAAGGCUCCUCUAAAGUACCCAAAGUAAAUUUGCUAUCGAUAAAUGGUUCUGUACUGCUGUUUGUAACCGGACCAUUACAGUGCCUCUAUAAGAUGUAGCGCUUACACAGCUUAAGGUUACACAGCUCCACGAUACCUUCCAUACAAUGUACUGCAAAUACAGUGUUAAAUUAAUAUUUUGACUGGAAAACAACUCUGUUCAUCAAUGAGAUGCAAAAGCAGUUUGGAAUCUGACAGACCACGUCCCCCCGCUCAGUGCUAUCUGUAAAUCAGUCCUUCUACCCCAGAAGAUUUAAAUUCACUUCCUGAGGUCAGUGCAGCAAAAAAUAAGAUGCUCUUGAAGACGGAUGUCAGGACACCCUGCGAUAUAACUAACCAGAUGUAUGUAUACGCGAGCUACAGGCAUAUCAUAGCAGGCAUUGAUAGAUGAAUGAUUAAGGAGACUUUCCUAGUACCAUAUACAAUUUAAAAAUAAAAAUAAAAAUCACCCUAACAAGUAUUGCACACUGUAGGAGUCAAGCCAAGCAUUUGUAAGGGCUUCCACCAAAAGCUUGCUCAGAGGGCUAGGGAUCGGGAUGGGGACGCAGACUUUAAAAUAAUUAUUACAUCAAGAUUUUAAAAUCAGACUGGAGGAAGGUAAUAAAAUCACAGUACCUAUUGCAAACUGGUUGUAACAGAAGCCAAGUAGUUGACUCGUGUGUUGCUCAAUUAUUCUAUAAAAGCAUUUUGUUUUAUUUAAACUUGGGAUGUUGAGGUUUUUUUCUUCUUCAAGGAUUUAUCAACCCACCCAGAGCCUCUGCUCAGAUAAGCCAUUUGCUGUGGUUAAAUAUGACAGUAAAAUUUAGUAGCCUGUUUUGACUGCAUACAAUGCAGAAACGGAAAACACUAAGAUAGGCUUUUGGGGCACAGUUAAAAUUCCCAGUGUGCACAACAGUGAGGUAUGCCUCCAGAAGCUGUUCUUUUUUUUAUCCUUUUAAAAAUGAACCAUAACAUACCCAUGCAAGAAUAUUUCUGCAGUGUUGCUAAAUAAAACCAACUGCACCAAAAAUUUACAAUGUGGCAGAAUUUAAAAUUCAAAGAAA